UGAGGCAGGGAGGGGGUGCUGUGGCAGGGAGGGGGUGCUGCUGUAGAGGGGUGCUGUAGCAGGGGUUUGCUUCUGCAGGGAAGUGCUGCUGCAGAGGGCUGUUGCUAUGCUCUAAGCAUGUCAAAGGACCAGCAAAGAUGCCAAUGUGUAUGGAUGAGGCUGAGUAGUAGCAAAUGGGGUCAGAGAGGUACUAGGGCAGGAUGGUGCAGGCCUUUAGGCCAUGCAAAUGUGAAUUCUAUUGUGGAUGAGGCACAAGGCAGAAUGGCAUAGUGUGCACUACAGAGCUAAUCUGUGGAGGUCUUAUUCUCACUCUUACACAUGGGAGCUAUAAGACCUCAGCAAAGUCGCUGCCCUCUGACAGGUGGAUGUAUAAGAGCUGUACGAUGUAGAUCAUGCCACAGCUGGCCUCACAGCAGUAUUGUGAAGACUGGAAAUCGGGCUAGGGUGAAUGGAAGUGUAAAAUUCCACAGAGGAAUGGAAGAAGACUUCAUUUUGCACAGGUCAAUCCACAUCUGAAGCGGUAAGUUCAUCUCUGAGUGCCACACUUUCAGGUUGACAAGCACACUGAAUGACAACUGAACAAGACAUUCAGAACUGGGCAACACCGUCACAUAGGAAGUCAUUGAAAGAGGUGAAGAAUUUAGCCUAGAAAAUUGCAGACGCCCACAAGACGCGACAACUGUCUUUAAACACUUGAGAAACUAUCAUUUAGGAAUCAGAUUUAGAUGAAUCUUUGACGUCCCUUUAGGUGCACUUUCUUUUUACAAAAUGCCAGAAGUACUUUUUAAAGAACAUUUAGCUGCAUUAAAACCUCUGGUUUUAAAAACAACUGAAGUGGAAUAAACCUGCAGCUUCAAAAUGUUCUCCCAACUGAAACCUACCAGUUAUCCCUUUGGUUUGAGGUUGAGUCACUAACUUUCAGGAGGCUGUACCUUCUCGCCACCACUGUCGACCACAUCCUCCUGCAGUAAGCUCCAGAGCUAUUAGGAGAGAUUUGUGACUUACACUUAGGAGUUAGACAUCUGUCAGCCCUUGAGAAGGGACCAAUAAAAAGUUUCAAUUAAAGAUUUGCCUUGACUGACAAGGAGGAGGGUAUAGCACUUUUUCUAUUUUUCCAUUUGUUCUAUGGAUUGAAAGGAACAUGGAUUUAAUACUGCAAAGGUAAUAUUACUACUUCUUCAUAUGAAUUUAUAUUAUAUACUGCAAUGAAGGUUAGACAAAACUUUUAACAGAAGUGAUUUGACGCUUUGCAAUAAUAAGAAGCUAUAAAAAGUAUGAUAAUAAAACGCAGUGGAAAAAAACUCGCAGACACUGAUUUUCAUAUUCUGAUUAUAAUGGUGGCCUUAACUGAGCAGUCGCACUGUUGUAUGCCUAUUCACCCUCCUGUUGAGUUUUUUUUUUUUUUUUGAAAUGGAUUUUUGCUCUUGUCGUCCAGGCUGGAAUGCCAUGGCAUAAUAUCGGCUCACUGCAACCUCUGCCUCCCAGGUUCAAGCGAUUCUUCUGCCUCAGCCUCUCAAGUAGCUGGGAUUACAGGCUCCCAUCACCAUGCCUGGAUAAUAUUUUUUAUUUUUAAUAGAGAUGGAGUUUUACCAUGUUCACCAGGCUGGCCUUGAACUCAUAACCUUAGGUGAUCCGCUCACCUUGAACUCCCAAAGUGCUGGGAUUACAGGUGUGAGCCACCAUCCCUGACCCCGGCUGUUGAAUUGAUCUAUUUAUGACCCACAGAGAGCAUGAGACUAAUGUACUACUUUAGUUAAAAAAAAAAAAAAAUCAAAAUACAAGAGAACAUUAUUCUUUCUUCAAACAAAACCAAUCUCAUCAUUCUUUCUUCCAACAAAUCCAAUCUCUUGCUACACCUGGAGUAGAGCGUAGCCUCACUGCAACCCUAUGAAGGGAGGUACCGUUAUUCGCAUUUUGUUUUUUGUUUGAAAAGAAGUCCAAGAGAGGAACUGGGGCUCAGAGAGGUUAAGUAACUUGCCCAAAGCUCCCCAACUAGAAAGUAACAGGGGUGGGAGUGAAACCCAUAUCUGCCUUGGGUCCAAAGUCCUUGCUCUUAUCUACAAUGUUCUGUGAAAUGGUCACUGAUUAUUCAAUUGUAGCACUUAAUUCAUUCCCUGCAGUCUUUAUCUGGAGAAUCAGAAGUCCAGAAAGUUGAAAAGACUUGCCCAAAGCUACAGUGGAACCGAGGCUUGAACCAAGAUCUCCUGACUCCCAAGCCAGGAUAUUUCUGCUCUGCCAGGGGGCCAUUCCAUCUGAAAAGCUAAAAGCUGAGAGAGGAUAUUUCUACAUUCUAGAAAAUCACCAAGGAUAUGAAGUGAGUAAAUUUAGACUCUUCUAAAAUGCAGCAGUUUAAAAAUAACAGUACUAGGAACGAUUGUGGACAUUUGAGAGAGAUGCAUUUGUGAGGGAGAAAUAUGGUGCACACAUGGUAACCACCCCUAAGAAGCUGUACAGGCUGAGAACAGACAUUUGAUUGAAGUGUUAGGUUUUCCUUUUAUUUAUUUAUUUAACAAACUAUAUGCCAAGCUCUGUGUUAGGCUGUUGUUACAGCCUGAAUUGUGUCCCUCAAACAUUCCUAUGUUGAAACCCUAACGCCCACCUUGUCUGACUAUAACUGUAUCUGAAGACAGGGCCUUUAAAGGGAUGGUUAGGUUAAAAUGUGGCCAUCAGGGUGGGCCUAAUCCAGUUUGCCUGGUGUCCUUAAAAGAAGAGAUAAGGGCACACAAAGGCAUGUCAAGGGUGCACACAGGAAGGACCAUAUGAACACGGUGAGAAGAUAGCCAUCUGAAACUCAAGGAGACAGGCCUCAGAAGAAACUAACCCAGGCUGGGUGUGGUGCCUCACAUCUGUAAUCUCAGUACUUUGGGAGGUCAAGGCAGGUGGCUCACAAUUAGCCAGGCAUGGUGGCACAUGCCUGUAGUCCCAGCUACUCUGGAGGCUGAGGCAGGAGAAUCGCUUGAACCCGGGAGGCAGAGGUUGCAGUGAGCAGAGAUUGUGCCAUUGCACUCCAGCCUGGGAGACAGAGUGAGACUCUGUCUCAAAAAAAAGAAGGUAGUAAUCCUUUUGACAUUUUGAUCUUGGAAUUCUAUGCUCCAGAACUGUGAGAAAUAAAUUUCUGUUGGUUUAUUUUUCUUUUUAUUUUGUGCGUAAGUUUCUGUUGUUUAAGCCGCACCAUCUGCUGUAUUUCAGUAAGACAGCCCUUGCAAACGAACACAGUGCCUUAUACCUGUAAGCUCAUUAAGCCCUGUAAUAGCCUUUGAUAUAGGAACUAUGAUCUCCAUAUUACAAAUGAAGAACCUGAGGCCUAGAGAGGUUAAAAAAAUUCAUCACUGGCAAUCACAAGUGGCAGAGUUGAGAUAAUUGUAAGUGACAGAAACCUAAGGGAUUAUUCAAGGAUGUCUGGGUCCUAUCUCCCACCUCAGCAAGCGGACUUCAGGACAAACAAUCUCACACACCUCUUUGCUUAGUGUUUUUGGAACAGGUAGCUAAAGUCAUACACUAGUGUGACUAUGUGUAGGCUUAGAAAAUGAUUGAGGAAGGCACCCUUGAAUAGCAUAUAACAUAAAGGUCAGAGCACUGGACUAGGCAUCAGAACAUCUGGGGUCAAAUCUGUUUCCUGGGGCUCUUCUAAUCUCCUCAUUUAUUCUUUUCUUUUCUUAUUUUUUUUUGAGAUGGAGUCUCACUCUGUCACCCAGGCUAGACUGCAGCUCACUACAUCCUCCACCUCUCUGGUUCAAGUGAUUCUCCUGCCUUAGCCUCAUGGGUAGCUGGGAUUGCAGGCUCCCGCCACCACACCCAGCUAAUUUUUGUAUUUUUAGUAGAGAUAGGGUUUCACCAUGUUGGCCCGGCUAGUCUUGAACUCCUGACCUCAGGUGAUCCACCUGCCUCAGCCUCCCAAAGUGCUGGGAUUACAGCCAUGAACCACUACUCCUGGCCUCUUCUAAUGUAUUCUUGAGCAACUUAAUCUCUAAAUCUGUCUCGUAACCUGCAUAAAGGGAAUAAGCUGCCUCCUUCGGUGUGGCUUUAAUGACACCAACAUUUCACAGCAUCCAUCGUGCUGCAUCAAAGCUGUCUUUAGCAUCACUGAUACUUAGCAGUUUCCUUGCACAUAAGUGGCCCUCAGACAAUGUUGAAGGAGUGCAUAUGGAAGUUCUUGGCAAACUGUACAAGUGUAAGCCACUUUGAUUAACCCAAGAAAAAGCCACUCUGUUGCAUUCUUUCUUUCAGCCCUGGUCCCUAACGAAUGGAAAGAGACGAGUCAAGAAUCAAAGUUAUAUGAAAGGUCACCACCUUCUAAGGACCCACGUAGCUUCGAGGGAGAUUACAGAGCAAAGGGUCAUGACCGCCUGCUGAGGAAUAGGGUUCAGGCCCUAACCUGACAGUUUCCAUCCUUCAUCUCUCUCCUGUG
rnacentral:lncRNA from 1 species